UUGUUUACUGAUACUAUCUGAAACUCGCUUUGAUUAACAUCUCUGUUUCGCUUUCUAGGUUUAUCCAUGGCGGACCAGUGUAUGGUUAUCGCCGGCGACUGGAAGACAUCUGAUGACAGCAGCUGGACAUUCACUAUCGACAAACACCACAUGUCCAGGAUCGUCCCCCUUUCUCCCACGAUGACCUUGCUUGAACUGCAAAGCAAUGUGCUGAAGGAGUUUUAUCCCAACACCGAACUGCCCCCAUCCGCUCACUGAUCUAUUGACUGCCUAACACUAAGGAACUUGCCACCAGAAUCUCAACACCACCUGUCAUGCUCACCCACGACAGGUCUGUCUUGUAUUUCUAUCGUCAUUUUGAAGCACACAUGGAAAUGAAUCUGUUUGAUUAUCGUGUACAUUUAGGGUUAUGUACAUGUGGAUAUAUAAUUUUUGUGUACAUGUGGAUACAAAAUUCUGGUGCACAUUAUAUAUUGUAGUUUUUUGUUUUUUUUCUUUAUGUGUUAUGAGAUGAAUUGCUUCAUAGAUUUCAAGGUUUUUUAACUUAUUGUUGCACACAACACAUAUAUAUGUAGAUGAGACUGAGAAAGAUUUUGCUCUGCUCACUUGCUUGUUUAGACAUGGUUGGCACUCAUCUACCAUGUCGCUUACCAACUGUCCGAAUGCAACUCGUACACAUGUACAUUCAUUUACCCAUCUCUAUAUGUACAACCCCAAUUUCCUCCUCCCAAAUCGAAUAUGCUCAUAAAUCAUGUCAUCACAACAUCAAAUUAAAUCGAAUAUGCUCAUAAAUUAUGUCAUACAUAUUCGUUCUCCCGUCCACAAAUUGUGUCAUGACUAUUUCAAAUUAAGUCAAAUUUGUAUACAUAGUAUGUACCAGACUGUCUCUUGUCCAUGCAUACAACUGCACUUUAUUGACACGCAACAGAAGCACUUGCAUCAAGUUUCACAUUACAGAAGCCGCAUAAAUUCAAAACCUCAACUUAAAAAAUACACACAUGUCGCUUACUUGCUUGUUUAGACAGUGUUGGCACUCAUAUACCAUGUUGCUUACAAACUGUUUGAAUGCAACUCGUUCACAUGUACAUUCAUUUACCCAUUUCUAUAUGUACAACCUUAACUCUCCCCCCCUAAAUCGAAUAUGCUCAUAAAUUAUGUCAUCACAACUUCAAAUUUUACAGCUUUAGCGAUUUGUUCUCCCGUUCAUAAAUUAUAUCAUGACUAUUUCAAAUUAAGUCAAAUUUGUGUACAUAAUAUAUACCAAACUAUCUCUUGUCCAUGCGUACAACUACACUUUACUAUACGCAUGUACACGCCAUCGAUGCACCCUUCCAUCAAGUUUCACAUUACAAAAGCCGCAUAAAUUCAAAACCCCAAUUUAAAAAAAUACACACAUACGUACACUGAUUUCAAUUCCCACAAUCAGCGGCCCCUACUUGUAUACGAUUUUUCUUUAAUGUCCAUGAGUACAUCUACUCCUCUUUGUAUACAUGUACACAUUAACCGCUCAAAGAUAGGACACAAAAUGAGCCCAUAAGCUUUUCCCUCUUUGUACACAUGUACGCAACUACCCCUCUUGUUUUUAGCCUAAACAGGUUGUCAAAGCAUGAGCCCAGAAGCUUUUCCAUCUCUUAUGUCCCUUCAAGCACAUCCUUUACCAGAAGAAGAUACUCCAAUGAUGAAUUACAGUUGUGCCUUUUGCUUGGGUAUCAGUCAGUCGCAAACAACCGGGACGGUAGCCUCUCAUCCACUGUUCCUUCCUCUGGUUCUGCUACCUCUGUAAGACAAGAGAAUCUUAGAAAUCUCAACAAUCUAAACUAGAAAACAGAGAACCCAAAAUAACUUCCCCUACACAGAAACCCUAGAUCAGAACCCUAAACCAAAAUACGAAAUCCAACACGAGUUAGCCCCCAAAACACAAUAACGAACUUAGAUUAUGCGGAAAUUGCAGCCCCAUCAUGAAUACAUCCACAAAUCCACCCAGAAAAAAAAACCCAACGAGUUGGGGAGCACGGUGAGAACUAACCUUUUCCUUUCCCUUUCGAAGCUCGCUUCUUUCGCACCGACAUCAACUCUCCCGUCUCUUUCUAGCGUCUCAACGUUCUCCGGCGGUAAGAUCGAUCGUCGCCUUCUCCGUCGGUAAGUCUGUUCGUCGCCUCUCGAUGAAAAAGAAGAAAACGCAUUAAGUUUCAGUUUUACACGUUCCCAAGGUAAAAAAAAAAAACAAAAUCAACUUAAUUUUGAAUCCACCAAUCACAACCCGUUUUUUUGAAUUUAAAAUUCACUAACCAGCCCAACUAAAAAUAAAUCGACUAAUUACUCAAAUGCCCAUCCUUGGUUUGCCUUUUAAGAGGCUAAAUAGGUCUUCAACCAUAGAAAACUACCUCAUAGCAUAUUGUGUCUUAUGGUGUAAUAAAAACACACAAAGUGACCUUUUAUGUUAAUAACUCUUUUUUUCUUUCUUGUAACUUGAUUGCCCAAGUAACUUUACAAGCUCGAAAUGACCCCCCCAAACUUUAGGUUAGAUUCCUGAAUCAACCCCUGACUUUCUUAAAUGAAUUCAGUAUAUCCAGUAUUUAUUUCCUAAUUUCCUAAAAUCAUGAAAAACAUUUUGUGAAAAGAGUUAAUUUUUUGUAGAUAUAUUUUAUUUUUUUUAGACAAAUUAAGUUGAAAUGAAAUCUAUGAUGACACGUGAAAUUACUAGUCAAAAACAAAGACGGAAAAUACAUCUCUUUUUUUAAUAUCUAAAAUUUUGCUGGAUUUAAAAUGAAAAUAAAUUGAUACAAAUAGUAUUUUCGUGCUUAAGGUUCGCCACUACUCACUUACUUUCCACGGACGUGCCUACAAAUUGCCAUCAACGGAUAAAAGACUACCGAGUAGCUAACCAUUUGAUCACAAUUCAUUUUUCAUUAACACAGAUUAAUCAUCUUGAAAAAAACUUGACUUUUUUAUGAAAUAGUUCAAAGCUGUUGUGUUUUUUAUAAUUUAGUUUUAGAAUUGUGUAUAAACGAAUUUUGUAUAAACCUGACUUUAGCUUCUUCUUUUUAACAGUCUACCCAACCACGAUUGAACAAGCUUUAGCUGUACAUCGAAGACGGAGACAUCGAACCACGAUUUUACAACAGGAUCAAAGAUGAGCUUGAUCUUGUACGUCAAGACUAUAAUGAGAAUGAAGAAGACGUGGUCUUAUUUUUUAUUUUAUUUUUUUUGUAACUGAGGCUUUUUUAUAUUAAAAUGCAAAAGGAAAUAAAAGUUUACAAGCACAAUGCUUAAGUUCAGGGCGUAGCCCAAUACUAGAGAAACACAUAGUUAUAAGAACUCAAUUCUGAAGUCCAAGUAGUCAUAGCCCAAGGUAGUUUAACAAUGGCGGAAUAGGUGAAGAGUCGUGGGAGAGAGAAGCAUGAGGGAGGGAGUUGUCGAUGAUAGAGAAGUGGUCUGCAUGUUAGAUCCAUCCUUGCAGCAUCGCAGACGAUAGGGCAGGGUUUGAUUCUCUGAAGCUCUGGACUCUGUUUCUGAUUUGGCGAUCAAUAACAGAGAAGAUCACAUCAAUGGUUUUGAAAGAAUUAGUGUGAAGCAUGGUGUUUCUCUCGCUCCAAGUCCAGUAGAUCACUGACUGACAGACUAGAAGGGUGAGGAGUCUUCGCGGUCGUUGGGCCUUCUGACGAGGAAGAGAGCGCAUCUGGUCUUGAAUCCCAGGUUCUGAGCGGAGUGAUACACAGCUUUCCCGCCGCCAAUGACCACAAAUCAAAGCUAUAAUUGCAGACAUGGAAGAGAUGGUCUCGUGAUUCUGGUGCGGAGUUGCAGAGAAGGCAAAGAGGAGGGACAGUCAAUCCCCAAGAGAUGAGUCUAUCCCAAGUUGGACAUCGAUCCAGCACUACAAGCCAUAGAAGGAAGUUAUGUCGAGGGAUACCGUAUUGUGACCAAACGGUUGUAGACCAGUUGACCUUACUCCUCUCAAUGAAAGAGAUAGUGGUGAGGUACAUGAGUAGUUGGAGCUGAGUGCCGGACCUGGGAGCAGGGAUUCGCCAUCCUCCAUUCCUAUAGAGAGACGAGAGUGUAGCCUUCAGGAGGAUGCGCAAUAAGGGGGAUUGUAGAAAUAUGUCAUCUUAUCUUCUAAGUCUCUUAGCCAAGGAGAAGGUUUCAAGCUAAUGUUGGUCUUAUGAAAGGCACAUGAGUUGGGCAUGCUUUGGCUAAGUUCAAGUGGGGUUAAGAGAGUCAUUAACCACUUAAGCUGAAGAUAUUUUCUGAGCUGGAUCAAGUCAUCGUCAUCUUCACGAGACGGAGAUACGGUUACGACGUCGAGGUCUGUAACAGAACGGUGAGCAGAGAAAGAGCUCGUGCUCGGGAGAGAGAGAGCUUGAGACAGAGAGAGAGAGAUCGUGAGUGAGAGAGAGCUAGUGAGAGAAGGAGUUUCUCUGUGUAUCUAGCUAAGCUCAUCUUCUUGUUUCUUCUUCCUAGAUCAUACUCUUAUCUCUUGGUGAUUGUAACAGAGAUAGAGAGGAAGAAGAUCUCCUGUGAUUGUACUCUUCUCAGUUGAUCUAUUGGAAAGGUUGAGAGACCUAAUUCUCUCUCCGGUGAGUAUAGCGGCUUCUCCACAUCGGAGAAGUGCGGUGAACACCGGGUUACCAAAAACUCUUGUGUCGUUUACUUUCUCGCUUGAUUCGAUUCCACACUGCGAUUGAUUGUUUCCGCUAGAUUUGCGAUUUGAGAUACAUUGAAGCUUGCAGGAAACCGAUAGAAUCCUCUACAAGUGGUAUCAGAGCGCUGGUUAUGGCGAUUCAAGGAUUCAUCGGUAACGAAUCUUGAUCGAUUCUGAAGAAGAAGAAUCAGAGUUUCUGUAGUCUCGAGAUCGCAUCGCUCUCAUAUCAAGUGUGACGAAUCAGAGCUGAUGUCGUUCAUUAUGCAGUGUCAGCAUCAAAGGAAGAAGAAAGUGAUGUUCGCUUGUGGUAGACGAAGACGACGUCGGAAGCGGAGGAAAGAACGUUCACGGAGGAAGAUCCAGUCGGAUCUAUUGGUUUCUGGUUUGUAAAACCAUGUGCAGAAGCAAGGUGAUCUAUCUUGAGGCUAGAGUCAUAGUCUGGUGUGAGAUUAUGAUGAAGAGACUUACUAGCUAUGCUGUGUUAUUCACAAGAAAGGAAAGAUCCGUAGAGGCUGAAGCAAGAAUGAGUUACAGAAGGGAGAGAUAGAGUAUUCAGAGGAAGGAGAAAGCAAGUACAAGAUAGAGAGAUCAAGUAAAAGAUCAUAGCUCUUGAGUCACCAUUGCUUUCCCCUGUUCCAGCUGCGUGUCUUCGUUGUUAUCGGAGGAAUUGAAGGCUGAGUGUUCGUCGUCUUCUUCGUAGCUGCUGAUAUACUCCUCUCCGGUAAUAUCUCAUGUUGGAGAUUAUUCAGGUUAAGUCAAGCCGGACUUAAGGAGCUUGAAUCAAAUCAAGUUCAGCAGAUUUCAGGCUCAAAUCUUGAAGAUAAGGUGGUCUUGUUUCAAUACAGUCACAAAGGUAGUUUGUGAUGGAUGGUUAAUCAUUUUCUGCAAAGGUUAAAGGGGAACUAAAGCUUGCUGGAUCACAAAGGAUGUGUGUUAUCUUUGCAAAGGGUGAUCAAGACUCUGGUCUGGUGUCAGAUUGUGUAUUGGUCAGCUCGUUUGUGGAAGAAAUAUGCAGUGUUGUUUCAGAAGAUGGAAAGAAUAGCAGUUGGUGGCACUUAUGAAUCUCAGGUAUGAGGGACGCCUUGGAAGUUGAUGUUGGUAUGUGUUUCAAUGGCUAUUUGGAUAUUGAUUAAAGGUUCCAGGAUCCAAGUGAAAGGAAGUUGCAGAGAAGCAUGAUAGUGAGGUUUAAUCAGAUAUGAAACAAGACAGGUUCAGUAAUUUAAGGCUUCAAGGUUGGUUCAGUUUUCAGAGGUUUUGAGUUGCUGGUCUGCAGGUUCAGUCUCAGGGGUAUAGGAUCAGAUUCUUGUGGAUGUUGGGGAGCUCAGGUAGCAAUGAUCAGGGGUUAUAAAAAGAUCAUAAUAGAGCUUGUAGCAACAAGGCUGGAUUUCUACUAAAAUGAAUCAAGGCUGUUACAUUUGUGGCUACUCUUCAGUGGCAGUAAUGUGAUGAAUAGAAGUGGUUCUGCGUGGGUUCAGUCUCAGGAGUGAAGUCAGUCUCAUUGGAGGAAUGAGAUGAGAAGCUUCUAGUUGCUAGAAGAAAGCAAGAAGAGUCAUCAAGUUAGUGAUGCAGAAACAGGUUGUGUCUCCAGGAAAAAGCAGCUUGAACUAAGCUUUGUUGAGAUGUUGUGAGUAACAAGGGCAAGCUCGGUGAAGAGGUCUUGUUGUCUUACUCAAAGGUGUCUCUGCAGAAGACUAGAAGGGAUGAGCUCUGAAGCAAGGCUGAUUGAAUAUCAGUGAUAAAGAAACUAGAAAAGAAGCAAGUUUCUGGUUUGUGUUCCAGAGGAAAAGAAAGCAAAGAGUUUAUUUUGCUGGUUAUAUUUCUUAUUGGACAGGAGUGUUACAAGUUAAAGUCUGCGGGAAUGUCUCAGGUUAUGGUAGCUCACGUUUUUCAAAAACUCAAGUCCGAGACAGGUUAAAGUUUCAGAGACAAGAAGGUGGAGCACGUGAGACAAGAGCAGAGCGCAUGAGUUAGAAAGGAUGCAAAUGGUCGAAGUACAUUCAGUUUGGUGGUACAUCAUUGCUUUAAAGAAGCAAUGACUCUUGGUGGUUUCUCAGGUAUAAGUGACUGAGAUUAAAUGGCUGCAAACAGAAGAUAUUUGUCAUAAGUUCUGACAUGUAUGUUGAAGCAAGAAGCCAUGUAUUCAGUCAAAUACACACAGCAGUUUAAUGAAUCAAGAAGAAAAGUGCAGAAAGGUUUUAAGACUGAGAAGUGAAGAUAAGUGUGAAGAGAAAUUAAGUGAGGUCUGAGGGGUUACUGUUUUCAGGUGGAGUCUUGCCUCUACAAGUGUUGUAGUGCACAUCUUCAGAUGUUUUUUGGCUUCAGGUGGAGUAGUGCUACUGGUUCAGGCGAAUUUCUCAAGUCUUCUCAGCAGCUUAUGGCUUCAAGUGGAGCAGUGUUGUUGGUUUAGAAGUUCUGCUAAUAAGCUUACAACAGGUUAUGGGAUUCAUGCUGGUUUUGUGUGGUAUCAAGGAGGAGAAGAGAGCCAAGCAGAGUAUGUACAAGGGAAUGUGAAGUGCAGUGACAUCAAGGCAGGAUCAGAGAGAAACACAGUUUCUAAGUGGAGCUAUUUUCAGCAAGAAUCUUGUAUCAUCGAAGUUUUGGGCAGAGUACACAAGAGGUUUAUGUUGGCUUUGCUGGAGAGUAAAUCAAAGGUGCUUUUGAUCUCUGGUAUAAGGUGAAGAUUGAUGAAGUAUCAGUCUGAUUUUUUGCAUAAAUCAGAAUGUGAGCAAGCUCUGAAAUUACUGGAAGUCAAGGUUGCUGAAAUAUAGAAAGUUGCAGGUUUUGUGAAUGCCUGAGAUGAAGUAUCACAGAAGUGAUCUUGGUAUUUUUUCCUCUAACGAGAAUUCUGAGACUAGUGCUUGCUGAAGUUUCUCAAAGUAAAUCAUUUCAAGAAGCAUUUGCAACUGGUUCGCAGUUCUAGAGAAGGCUGAAGAAGAAAUAUGUUAUGAACUGGUUUCUGAGACAACAACUUGAGAAGUUAUAAGUUGUCUGGUUGCAUCAAAGAAAGUUGAAAUCUUCUCAGUAAAGAACACUUGUGAGAUUGAACAAGUGUGGAGCCUAAGUGUGAAGAACACUAGAGGAAGAGUUAGUGAGCCAAGAAGAGUCUUUGGUUCAGCUGUGAGAAGAUUUACGAUGCAAGUACCAAAACUUUUGGUGGAGUUUACACACUGUUGAGUGUGUUGCAGGUCUGGUGCAGCAGGAGAAAUCACAUCAUGAGCACGAAAUUGAUGUGAAAGAAGCUGUAAAAGAAAGUAUCUCUUGAAUAUCUCAGGAUCUUAUGAUGAGAGAUAUGGUUAAAGGGUACAAGGAGUGUUUCUGAGCUGCUGGUACUGUCUUGUUUACUCAAGGAAUUGGAAAGGGAACUAGGGUCGAAAGUACUCACAGCAAGGUGGAGCUUUGAGGCGUGAUCUGUUGGAGUUUCAACAGCGGUUCAAGUUCAGGUUUCAAGGUUGAGUUGGCUAGACAGAAGGCUGGUUGAAUCAGGGAGGAAACAAGUAUGUUUCUGGUUUCUGCAAGAGAUUUUCAGUAGUAUUUUUUGAUUCGGAUCUCAAGUACUUGAGGUGAAUCAAAUGGGUCUACAGAAGAAUCAGGUUGCAGGGUCACAAUGGUUUGUUUGGACAGAGAUUGAGCAGAGAUCUUGUAUCGAAAGUCUUCUUAACCGGGUUGUGUUAAGCGGCGUGUUCUGUUGGCGACAGCAGCGGUGCAGAGUGGUGUUCAAGUCAGUCUGUUCAUUCAGAUGGUUGUAAGGGAAAUCUCAGGUUAAAGAGUGGGUCUUUACAGGCUGUUGAGGUUGGUUUCAAGGUUUUGAGUCAUGGAGCUUCUGGUUUGAGGCAUAAGUGGUUCAGGUUCUGAAAUAGUUUCAAGCUAGCAUCGGCAUAUCAGUUUUGGCAGAAGGUUGACGACAAGUGCAGUAACAGGUCAAGCAUCAAGUAAGCUGAAGCUUAUGGAUUGUGUUGAGUUACUGAUGGGUGGUCGUCUCAAGUUUCUGGUUUUAUAGAAACUGCCAAAAGAGGAUUAAUGAAGAAGUUGAGCUUAACACAAAGCUGUGUUAAAGCGGUUUAACAACUUAAGAAGACAGUGCUCAGGAAUGAAAAAAGUGAUUAACAUCACAGCCAUGGCUUGUGAGUUUCAUGUCUGGUUCAUUGAUGGUGAUUGAUUGUAUGAAGACAAGCUAUUGAGGUGGAGCUUCGGUUAAGAGGUUGAAAGGAGCAGUGGCAAAGAAGUCUUCAGGUUGUAUCAAGAUGGAUACAGGUUGAGAUGCUUGAAGGAAACUAAUUUCAGGAAGUAUUGAAGCUGAGAAGAUGCAAGAAUCUGCAGGGAGUUGCAGAUGAGCAAGUUUGCUCAAGUACAUGAGGAGAAAGCUCAAGGGAAGGUAGAGACAUGAAGAAGAUCGAUGACAAGGUGGAGAUUGUAGAAAUAUGUCAUCUUAUCUUCUAAGUCUCUUAGCCAAGGAGAAGGUUUCAAGCUAAUGUUGGUCUUAUGAAAGGCACAUGAGUUGGGCAUGCUUUGGCUAAGUUCAAGUGGGGUUAAGAGAGUCAUUAACCACUUAAGCUGAAGAUAUUUUCUGAGCUGGAUCAAGUCAUCGUCAUCUUCACGAGACGGAGAUACGGUUACGACGUCGAGGUCUGUAACAGAACGGUGAGCAGAGAAAGAGCUCGUGCUCGGGAGAGAGAGAGCUUGAGACAGAGAGAGAGAGAUCGUGAGUGAGAGAGAGCUAGUGAGAGAAGGAGUUUCUCUGUGUAUCUAGCUAAGCUCAUCUUCUUGUUUCUUCUUCCUAGAUCAUACUCUUAUCUCUUGGUGAUUGUAACAGAGAUAGAGAGGAAGAAGAUCUCCUGUGAUUGUACUCUUCUCAGUUGAUCUAUUGGAAAGGUUGAGAGACCUAAUUCUCUCUCCGGUGAGUAUAGCGGCUUCUCCACAUCGGAGAAGUGCGGUGAACACCGGGUUACCAAAAACUCUUGUGUCGUUUACUUUCUCGCUUGAUUCGAUUCCACACUGCGAUUGAUUGUUUCCGCUAGAUUUGCGAUUUGAGAUACAUUGAAGCUUGCAGGAAACCGAUAGAAUCCUCUACAGGGAUGCGCAAUAAGACGUGGUCUUAUUGCGCAUGAAGCAAGAGGUUGAUAAGCCAAAAUUUGUUACCAAACAUACUUGGGAACAGAUAAGAUCGAUUAUCAAGCCUAAAGUGUCUUGAGCGAAGGGUAUAUGGUUCAGUCGUGACACUCCAAAGUUCGCGUUCAACGCAUGGAUGACAGUUCUCGACAGACUCAAAUGUAUAAAUAUAUUUAUUUUCAUUUUUAUUUCUGAACAAAAAGGUAUUUCUUUAAUACUAUUGAAAUGGUAUUGUUUUUUUACACA